rnacentral:rRNA from 1 species
UACGAAGGGGGCUAGCGUUGUUCGGAAUCACUGGGCGUAAAGCGCACGUAGGCGGAUCUUUAAGUCAGGGGUGAAAUCCCGAGGCUCAACCUCGGAACUGCCUUUGAUACUGGGGAUCUCGAGUCCGGGAGAGGUGAGUGGAACUGCGAGUGUAGAGGUGAAAUUCGUAGAUAUUCGGAAGAACACCAGUGGCGAAGGCGACUCACUGGACACAUAUUGACGCUGAGGUGCGAAAGCGUGGGGAGCAAACAGG